rnacentral:misc_RNA from 1 species
GAUCAUUACCGAGUGUAGGGUUCCUAGCGAGCCCAACCUCCCACCCGUGUUUACUGUACCUUAGUUGCUUCGGCGGGCCCGCCAUUCAUGGCCGCCGGGGGCUCUCAGCCCCGGGCCCGCGCCCGCCGGAGACACCACGAACUCUGUCUGAUCUAGUGAAGUCUGAGUUGAUUGUAUCGCAAUCAGUUAAAACUUUCAACAAUGGAUCUCUUGGUUCCGGCAUCGAUGAAGAACGCAGCGAAAUGCGAUAACUAGUGUGAAUUGCAGAAUUCCGUGAAUCAUCGAGUCUUUGAACGCACAUUGCGCCCCCUGGUAUUCCGGGGGGCAUGCCUGUCCGAGCGUCAUUGCUGCCCAUCAAGCACGGCUUGUGUGUUGGGUCGUCGUCCCCUCUCCGGGGGGGACGGGCCCCAAAGGCAGCGGCGGCACCGCGUCCGAUCCUCGAGCGUAUGGGGCUUUGUCACCCGCUCUGUAGGCCCGGCCGGCGCUUGCCGAACGCAAAUC